AACUUGUUUAUGUUUCAAGUCCUUUUCACUUUGCUCAUUUGAGCCAUAUCUUGUGAUUUUAUAUAUUGUUUAUUUGUCUUUUGUUUGGUUUAUGGUCUUAGGACCCUAAAACACCUAAUAAAAAUAAAAAUCCUAAAAAACAUCUGGUUGGACUGUUCAGAUUUGAUAUGAACCUCUGGACUUAGAACUAGGUAACAUUCCCUGUGCUAAAGGACUUGGCCAAUGCUAACUUUUGAGACUG
rnacentral:lncRNA from 1 species